rnacentral:rRNA from 1 species
CAGUCGCCACGGGAAUACAGAGGGUGCGAGCGUUAAUCGGAUUUACUGGGCGUAAAGCGUGCGUAGGCGGCUUUUUAAGUCGGAUGUGAAAUCCCUGAGCUUAACUUAGGAAUUGCAUUCGAUACUGGGAAGCUAGAGUAUGGGAGAGGAUGGUAGAAUUCCAGGUGUAGCGGUGAAAUGCGUAGAGAUCUGGAGGAAUACCGAUGGCGAAGGCAGCCAUCUGGCCUAAUACUGACGCUGAGGUACGAAAGCAUGGGGAGCAAACAGGAUUAGAUACCCCUUUAGUCCCUGUCUCUUAUAC